rnacentral:rRNA from 1 species
CCUACGGGUGGCUGCAGUGGGGAAUAUUGGACAAUGGGCGAAAGCCUGAUCCAGCCAUGCCGCGUGUGUGAAGAAGGCCUUCGGGUUGUAAAGCACUUUCAGUGGGGAAGAAAGCCUUGGGGCUAAUACCCUCGAGGAAGGACAUCACCCACAGAAGAAGCACCGGCUAACUCCGUGCCAGCAGUCGCGGUAAUACGGAGGGUGCGAGCGUUAAUCGGAAUUACUGGGCGUAAAGCGCGCGUAGGCGGUCUGAUAAGCCGGUUGUGAAAGCCCCGGGCUCAACCUGGGAACGGCAUCCGGAACUGUCAGGCUAGAGUGCAGGAGAGGAAGGUAGAAUUCCCGGUGUAGCGGUGAAAUGCGUAGAGAUCGGGAGGAAUACCAGUGGCGAAGGCGGCCUUCUGGACUGACACUGACGCUGAGGUGCGAAAGCGUGGGUAGCAAACAGGAUUAGAUACCCCUGUAGUC